CUGCCUACGUUAACAUAAAAAAUUGUUUGUUUAUGAACGAAUUAAUAAAAACUUUAUGAAAGUAACUUAUAACUAUUUUUUAAGUACACUUUUCUGUAAUUUAAGCGUAUUUGUGAUUCAAAUAACACGAAAGUAUAGUUUCCAAAUUUUUGGUAAAAAUGGUGGAUGCGCCGGUCCAUUUUGGGUUUCUUUUAAAUUUCGGUUUUGCUGUGUUUUUCAACGUUUGAGAAAAAUAUUUACAUGUUUUUAUCUAAACGUGUCAUAUUUUAUCGUCUAAAUUCUUAUCAAAUAAUCUAAUUAGAUAAUAAUCUGUUUGACUUGGGCAAAUGAAAUAAAGAUCCGUGGCCGGUUUUUAAUAAUGACGUACUUUUGUAAAUUUGUAUAAAGUUGUGCAAUUAAUUUUAAUACAAAUAACUAUUUCUCCAAUAUCAAGCAAAAAACUGGCCACAAAUGUAAAUGAAGUCGAUUGCCUAAUAAGAAAUAAAAAUAAAAAUAUAUACUCGUAACAGUAAUGAAUUUAUAAAUGUAAUGAAAAGGCGUGGAAACACACCAAAGACAAAAAUACAGACAAUACAAUCUCGAUUUGUCAUUUGUAAAAUAGAUUAAUUGAGCGCUUGAUAUUUUUAGAAUUCAAAAAUUGCCUGUAAUAUGUGGCCACGAAUUCUUUUCCUAUUUGCUACUCACCUGCACAUUUUUAUCUCAAACAGCCACAUUUUGACUAUAUAAAGCAUUAAAAUCGAGACAAUAAUUCAGAAAAUAACGUUGUCUAAUCAUUUCUUGAAGAUGGUUAAGUUAUUAAAGCAAUCUGUGCUAUUUUGGGCCUUGGUCCUCAGCGUCAAAACUGAAGAUAUAAGACGUAACAAUUCAAAAAAUAACAAUCCAGGUUUUUUCGAAGCGGAGAACGUAAGAAAACUAGAAACUGAUGAAAAUUUUGAUGAACAAUUAAAGUUGGGUUCACGGUUUUCACCAGAGAAUGAAGAAAAUCUUCAAAGGAAAUGGGGUCGUAAAAUUGGUUUAGACGAAAACUUAUUGUCUCGUGAUGGUCUGAAUAAACGUGACGGAGAAAACGGAGGAAAAAAUGAAGAAAGAUUUGAUGACAGGCACAUAAAAAUGCAUCGUCCAAAAAAUGCAAAUCAAGAGAGAAAUACAGAAGACAGAAGAAGUAAAAUUGAGGAAAGUGAUGCUCGCCACAAAUUUAUGAAUAAACAAAGUGAAAAAUUACAAAGAGGGACUGAAGAAAGAAUCGACGACAGACAACCACACAGAUGUGGUCAAAAAUUGCAUCGCCCAGAAAAUGUAAAUCGAGGAAAAAUUGAUAAAGAAAACAUAAGAAGCCGUUUCUUAAAUGAAGCAUCAAGAUUAGAAGAACAUUUCAGGGACAACAAUCCUAGAUCCAGAAGAUUUGGUCUGAACACAGAACUUAACAAAAGAUUUAAUGAAAUUAAUUCACGUAGAACUGGUUUAAACGACAGAUUAGCUCGUAAUGAUCCUCACAAAUUCAAGUUUCCAACAGAUCAAGCCGAAAAAUUAGGAAGAAAAAAUCACAACAGAAUUGAAAAAAGACAAAAAGGAAGAAUGCAGCGUCCAGAAGAAGCUAAUCUAGAGAGAAGUACAGACGACAGAAGAAGUAAAAUUGAAGAAAGUGAUGCUCGCCAUAGAUUUAAUCCAGAAUUUCUGAACGAACAACACGAAAAAUUACAAAGACGGACUGAGGAAAGAAAUGACGCCAGACAAUUUCACAGAUUCGGUCAAAAAUUGCGACGUCCAGAGAAUGUAAAUCUCGGAAGACAGGAGAAGUUGGAAAAAUCUGGAUUCAAAACGAGUGGUGGUUUAGAAGAUAAAGAAAAACACGGAAAUGCACCUCCAAAAUUCUAAAUAACUUACUUAUUUUUAUAUUUAUUCAUUUGUAACGACAGGUGUUAAAAAUAAAUUACGUUUUGCCAAG